GCCGGUAUAAGGUCAUGGCGCCGACUCCCGCAGCGUCCGCACAGGCCCAGCCCGGGGUUGGGAGCCAGCGGCGUCGUCCCGGGUCCAUGAAAUCUCAAUUCUGGAAACCACUGAUUUAGCUGAGGCAAUCUGAGUCAGGAUCUUUAUUACAGGGCUUUACUUGAAUUGUUCUAACGCCUGAAGAUGGGAUUGUUUGAUGAUCAUGGCAAUCGUCUGAU